CGCGGGGUGCGGGGGAGCCUGGGAAUGGUGGGGUUCAGUUUGGGACUGGCAAUCCAGUGCAUAAAGGACACCCUAGAAGUCUCGUGUUGCACCUCGGGGGACCCUGCUGGGGCCCAAAAGCCAGAUGGCUGAAUAGGAACAGCUCCAAUCUGCAGCUCCCAGCGAGAUCGAUGCAGAAGGCAGGUGAUUUCUGCAUUUCCAACUGAGG
rnacentral:lncRNA from 1 species